CUUGACAUACUCGUGCUAUUCCUAGAGAUAGGAAGUUCCUUCGGGACACGGGAUACAGGUGGUGCAUGGUUGUCGUCAGCUCGUGUCGUGAGAUGUUGGGUUAAGUCCGCAACGAGCGCAACCCCUAUUGUUAGUUGCCAUCAUUAAGUUGGGCACUCUAACGAGACUGCCGGUGAUAAACCGGAGGAAGGUGGGGAUGACGUCAAAUCAUCAUGCCCCUUAUGACCUGGGCUACACACGUGCUACAAUGGAUGGUACAACGAGUCGCGAGACAGUGAUGUUUAGCUAAUCUCUUAAAACCAUUCUCAGUUCGGAUUGUAGGCUGCAACUCGCCUACAUGAAGUCGGAAUCGCUAGUAAUCGCGGAUCAGCACGCCGCGGUGAAUACGUUCCCGGGCCUUGUACACACCGCCCGUCACACCACGGGAGUUGGGAGUACCCGAAGUAGGUUGCCUAACCGCAAGGAGGGCGCUUCCUAAGGUAAGACCGAUGACUGGGGUGAAGUCGUAACAAGGUAGGCGUAGCGAG
rnacentral:rRNA from 1 species